rnacentral:lncRNA from 1 species
UUGUUUCAUAUGACUUGGAACGAAGUUGGUGAAUACGAAUUUAGAUAUAACUCCUCAUAUAACUCUAACUCUUCCAAUAACUCGAGGUGGUGAAUACGGCCGUUAAUGUCUUCGGUUCAAAAAUAUUUCUUCUGGACACCGAUGCCAAAUUAAAUGAUGCAAGUAUUCGUUGUGUGUGCCUCCGUGAGAAAACUUUCAAGUAGUUCUGUGGCUGCUAAAUUUUCAAAAACCGAUUUUAUUUGGUUUAAAACAAAUUAGAGGAAGCAUGUUUUUAUUUGCUUUUAUCUAAAUUUCCACUGUGAACAGGACGCUAGUUUCUGCAAUCUUCAUGAUUUCCUUCGCGAUAUUUAAAUAUUACCUAGAUGUAUCUUCAUUUUCACUACAUCACCAACAUUGUUUCUUAUUGCCGCCCCAUGAUGUCCUUGUAUUCUUUUUAUUGCAGGUGGUUGUUUUACCUUCACCACUAAUUCCUCUGAUUUUUUCCAUUUCCUACAAAUGUUUUGUUUUCAAUUUUUUAACUAUCUUUGUGGACAUUCGAAAACGAAUGGGAAAGAGAGUAGUAAGAUGGGGAGGUAGACGUCUACGAUAGAUGUCAUGGCGGCGAUGACGUCACAGUCACUGUUAUAUUGGGAUGAAUGUUG